rnacentral:misc_RNA from 1 species
AUGGAUGUAAUCGUCACGUUCUGCGACUAGCUUAAACGGAACUGUGAAGGAAGCAUCACCAGAAGCCAUCUUAGAGAUAUCCAUUGUCUUGAGUAACUGGCAAUUUGUAACAAUCUGCUUCUGAUCUACAUUAUCAACAAGUGGUUCCAUUAUAGUUUGCUUCUGUAAGCAGCUCAUAUCAAAACCAUACACACUAUUCCAAAAU